rnacentral:rRNA from 1 species
AGUGAACGCUGGCGGUAGGCCUAACACAUGCAAGUCGAACGGCAGCACAGUAAGAGCUUGCUCUUACGGGUGGCGAGUGGCGGACGGGUGAGGAAUACAUCGGAAUCUACUUUUUCGUGGGGGAUAACGGAGGGAAACUUACGCUAAUACCGCAUAUGACCUACGGGUGAAAGCAGGGGAGCUUCGGACCUUGCGCGAUUGAAUGAGCCGAUGUCGGAUUAGCUAGUUGGCGGGGUAAAGGCCCACCAAGGCGACGAUCCGUAGCUGGUCUGAGAGGAUGAUCGGCCACACUGGAACUGAGACACGGUCCAGACUCCUACGGGAGGCAGCAGUGGGGAAUAUUGGACAAUGGGCGCAAGCCUGAUCCAGCCAUACCGCGUGGGUGAAGAAGGCCUUCGGGUUGUAAAGCCCUUUUGUUGGGAAAGAAAAGCAGCAGGUUAAUCCCCCGCUGUUCUGACGGUACCCAAAGAAUAAGCACCGGCUAACUUCGUG